UACGAAGGGGGCUAGCGUUGUUCGGAAUUACUGGGCGUAAAGCGCACGUAGGCGGACUAUUAAGUCAGGUGUGAAAUCCCGGGGCUCAACCCCGGAACUGCCUUUGAUACUGGUAGUCUCGAGUCCGGAAGAGGUGAGUGGAAUUCCGAGUGUAGAGGUGAAAUUCGUAGAUAUUCGGAGGAACACCAGUGGCGAAGGCGGCUCACUGGUCCGGUACUGACGCUGAGGUGCGAAAGCGUGGGGAGCAAACAGG
rnacentral:rRNA from 1 species